GAUGAACGCUGGCGGCGUGCCUAAUACAUGCAAGUCGAGCGAAGCGGCGGACGGGUGAGUAACGCGUAGGCAAUCUGCCCCUCAGUGGGGGACACCCAGCCGAAAGGUUGGCUAAUACCGCAUACUGAGGGAUGAGCCUGCGUCCGAUUAGCUAGUUGGUAGGGUAACGGCCUACCAAGGCGACGAUCGGUAGCUGGUCUGAGAGGACGAUCAGCCACACUGGAACGGAGACACGGUCCAGACUCCUACGGGAGGCAGCAGUGGGGAAGUUUCCGCAAUGGGCGCAAGCCUGACGGAGCAACGCCGCGUGGGUGACGAAGGAUUUCGGUCUGUAAAGCCCUUUCAGUCGGGACGCGGUACCGACAGAAGAAGCAUCGGCUAACUACGUGCCAGCCGCCGCGGUAAUAC
rnacentral:rRNA from 1 species